UGGUAGUGUAUUGGACAACCAUGGCAGUCACGGGUAACGGAGAAUUAGGGUUCGAUUCCGGAGAGGGAGCCUGAGAAACGGCAACCACAUCUAAGGAAGGCAGCAGGCGCGUAAAUUACCCAAUCCCGAUUCGGGGAGGUAGUGACAAGAAAUAGCAACUCGUGCGGGUUUCCGUUACGGGAUUGCAAUGAGAUAAGUCCAAAUCCGUAAACGAUUAACAAUUGGAGGGCAAGUCUGGUGCCAGCAGCCGCGGUAAUUCCAGCUCCAAUAGCGUAUACUUAAGUUGUUGCAGUUAAAAAGCUCGUAGUUGAAAUUCGAGUCAGUUACUAGUUGGCUUUUCGUCAGUUAGUUAAUUGAUUCUCCGUCUACAAUCCCUUUUGCGCUUUAGGGUUGCAGCUGGGCGAGUAGACAAUUUACCUUGAAAAAAUUAGAGUGUUCCAGGCAGGUCUUCGCCGGAAUACAUUAGCAUGGAAUAAUGGAAUAGGACUUGGGUCUUUUGUUGGUUUUAGGACUUGAGUAAUGAUUAAUAGGGACAGAUGGGGGCAUUAGUAUUUAAUUGUCAGAGGUGAAAUUCUUGGAUUUACUAAAGACUAACUUAUGCGAAAGCAUUUGCCAAGGAUGUUUUCAUUAAUCAAAAACGAAAGUUAGGGGAUCAAAGACAAUCAGA
rnacentral:rRNA from 1 species